UGGUCUGUUGUUCAUAUUUUUUAAUUCUAGGUCUAGUAAUUUUAUUCCGUCCUAUUGUCUUAUUGUUUUGUUUUAUUUUAUUUUAUUUUUUUGGCUUUUUUUUUUUUUUUUUUGUCUAUCAGAAUUCAUUUUAUUUUAUUUUAUUUUAUUUUAUUUUAUUUUAUGUAGAUCUCAUAUAGUUUUUUUAUUUUAUCUUUUUUUUUAUCAAGAACUUAAAAUAUCUCACCAACUUGUUGACUAAAUUUACUAAAUUUAUAACAUGAUUUCUGUGCAGUUGCUCUUUUUUUUCAGUUCUCAGUUCCCUCAUGCAUUUUCAUUAUUAUGACUUCUGUUGCCACCUGCUGGGGGUGUCAUUUACAGCACAUAGUCAGCAUUUACUGGACACAUGCUUUUAGUACAUGGACAUAAAUUUGAAGUCUAAACCUGGCACAGAAAUGCAUUUGUCACACUGCAGGAACAUUUAUGUGAACUACUCUUAAAGCUGUGAAUGUCAUUGAGAUGAUUGAUUUUUUAUUUUUUUAGUUUUUGUUUUCUUUUUUUUUUUUUUUUUUGUUUUCUAUCAGAAUCAUUUUAUUUUAUUUUUAUUUUAUUUUUAUUUUAUUUUAUUGUAGAUCUCAUAUAGUUUUUUUAUUUUUAUUCUUUUUUUUUAUUCAAGAACUUAAAAUAUCUCACCAACUUGUUGACUAAAUUUACUAAAUUUAUAACAUGAUUUCUGUGCAGUUGCUCUUUUUUUUCAGUUCUCAGUUCCCUCAUGCAUUUUCAUUAUUAUGACUUCUGUUGCCACCUGCUGGGGGUGUCAUUUACAGCACAUAGUCAGCAUUUACUGGACACAUGCUUUUAGUACAUGGACAUAAAUUUGAAGUCUAAACCUGGCACAGAAAUGCAUUUGUCACACUGCAGGAACAUUUAUGUGAACUACUCUUAAAGCUGUGAAUGUCAUUGAGAUGAUUGAUCGCGCUCUCUCUCAGGGUCCUGUGGGAGUCAGUGAGUUUGAGCGUCUCCUGAAGGAGUCUCAGAAGGAGGUGCUGCGUCUGCAGAGACAGCUGUCUGUCACCUCCACCAGAGACCAGAGCAUUGUGACGGCAGAAAACCCUUCAGAGAAUCAGGACCGAGACAGCAGGGUUGCGUUUGAAACCCCGCCCACAGUAGUAGAUGAGGCCCCUGUUAAGGGGGAGGAGACUCCUGCAGAGGGGGAGGAGUCAGAGACUCAAGUGAAGCCCGAACAGGUCACAGGCUCCACCCACCAGGAAGAGCAGACCACAGAAGAGCGUCUUCAGUUGCUGGUAAGAGUCACAUGAUCACAGAUAUAUGUGUGUGUGUGUGUGUGUGUGUGUGUAGUGUGUGUGUGUGUGUGUCACACUGACACCAAAUGCUCUUUUAUAUGCACAUAUUUUGCACUUUAAGUAACAAACCACCCUAAAAAAUCCAAAAUACCUGAAUUCAUGGGAGCCUGUGACAAAUAUAUGAAAGAAAUGGGUCCGUUACAAAUAAAUAUGCACCGUCAUGGAAAACCUGGAAAUAUCAGGAAGUUUGAAAACUCUGGAAAAGUUUUGGGAGUCUUCGAAAAUCCUUAUGGAUGUAGAAUUUUUCUAGUUUUGUUCAGCUGUGAAAUAUUCAGUUUUAUAUUUUAGAAAUUGCUAUUUUUUCUGAUUUUUUUUUUAUUCGUCUUUCAAACUUGCAGUCUUUACUAUUUAAAUUAUUAUUAUUAUUAUUUAUUGUUUAUUACAUUAUUAUAUUUAUUAUUAUUUGUUACAAAUGUAUUUAUCAAAUAUGUUCAUUCUUGUUUAUUUUUGCCACUGUGACAUUGCUUAUGUUGGAUAACAGCGUUUGCUGGAUGAAA
rnacentral:lncRNA from 1 species